AGAAUUUGAUUUUUAGGUGAAGAAACCUAAAUUAUAUUGAUAGACAAGAAGACCCUAUUGAGCUUUAAAGCAGCAAGUAGAAAACAAUGUAUAGACUUAAAUAUUAAUCUACUUUAAAUUUUGGUUGGGGCGACUAAGGAACAAAUAAAGCUUCUUUACUACUUUUAUACCUACAAGUUUUGAUCCAGAAGUUCUGAUUAAUGGAAUUAGUUACCAUAGGGAUAACAGCA
rnacentral:rRNA from 1 species